rnacentral:rRNA from 1 species
CAGUCGCCGCGGGAAUACGUAGGUGGCAAGCGUUGUUCGGAAUUAUUGGGCGUAAAGCGCGCGCAGGCGGAUUGGUCAGUCUGUCUUAAAAGUUCGGGGCUUAACCCCGUGAUGGGAUGGAAACUACCAAUCUAGAGUAUCGGAGAGGAAAGUGGAAUUCCUAGUGUAGCGGUGAAAUGCGUAGAUAUUAGGAAGAACACCAGUGGCGAAGGCGACUUUCUGGACGAAAACUGACGCUGAGGCGCGAAAGCCAGGGGAGCGAACGGGAUUAGAUACCCCGGUAGUCCCUGUCUCUUAUACA